UCUAAUUUGUGUUGCCCAUAUACUUAUUG
rnacentral:piRNA from 1 species